rnacentral:lncRNA from 1 species
GCGAAUCCACAUGAAUAUGGGGUAGAAGCCUAGUGGGGGGCUACCCACUGAGGAAAAGAGGAAAAGAGGAAAAGAGGAAAAGAUGAAAAGUUGAAAAGGAUGUGCAUUGUAGGGUUUUAGCUCAUGGUCGGGUAACGGGGAGUUAAAGGUGUCAUAGGGUCGGGUCGGACGGACAAGAGGAGUCGGUUAAGUCUAGGGUUUGACGUGUGUGGCAAUGAGUGAGAUCAUUGUAUUGAUUGAUCGCUAGGUUGUUAGAAAUGAAUGGAAGUGAUUGUGGAAAUUGCAGAUAACAUUAGGAAUGAUGAAAAUGCAUUAACUGAUUGUAGUGGCUAGUCAGUCCUAGUUCCCGCAUGGAGUAGUAUAGAGUGUCAUGCGGGCAGGCUGGUCUAGAACCACUUCACUGAGUAACUUGUUGCUCACCCCUCCAUUUCCAUUUUUCCUGUGCGCAGGACUGUAAGUAGAAGUAUAUGGAUGUGGGUAUGACGGUAUUUCAAAGAAGGUUAUGCGCUCGUCUCUCGGGACCAGUAACGGGACACGUAGGGUUGUCUAGAUGAGUAGACACGUGUCCAUAACGCCCCUUCGAUAACCCCGGUCGGACUCCGGGGGAUCGGGCUGUUACAAUUGGUAUCAGAGCGGGUUAAGAUCCCUUAGUUCUGUCCUAAGGGAUCGGCAUUUCCGACGUUUAAAAAAAAAAAAAAAAAAAAAAAAAAAAAAAAAAUAUUUUUAUAUAUUUCGUUUUCGGAAAAAAAAAAAAAAAAAAAAAAAAAAAUUUGCAAUAUUACUAAGUAUUUUCGGAUUGUGAAAGAAUUAAUUGAAAAUCCCACUAUACCCAUACUUCUAUUAUGGUUCUGAUUGAAAUUUUAUUGCAGGAUGUUUUCGCUUGACCAUUACGAGUGGAGGAUGCCGCGUAUGCACUACGGACGGAGGAACACCAGGGAGUAUGCCCAAAGGCGUCACUAUGACAGGGAGGGUAACUUGGUGCUACCCAUGUUUCCGGAUCCUGAAGAACAGUACAGGGAGUUCCCAUUCAGGUACCCGCACGAGCAGACUGUGAGGCAUAAGGUGUUGAUGCCUCAUUUCCAGAGGAUGGCUAUGGAGACACGCCUACUGCAGGGCAAUGCGAGAUUCCAGCUUGCAACCGAAGAGGGACCCCCGAGGAAGCGUGGCCGUCCCUGCAAGACGCCAAGUGCAGCAGGGGGACCCCCAAGGGUGUUCACCGGGAAGUGCCAGUGUGGAGUACUGAGCAAGAAUGCUCAGGAGGACCGAUCAGUCGCUGGAUACACGGAGGACUUCAUCAACCAAGCCAAGCUGUGCAAACCGAAGAAUGCAGAGACGUGGUGCAUAUGGUAUAAGAACGGGCUACGCAAGGAGCUCCAGGCGCAGUUGAGGGGUGUUUUGGAGCCCUUGGAGUUCGCGUUAGUGAGGCGGAUGGCAGGCUUCGCCAUGGAGGCAGAAGAGAAGAUUGCAGCCGAUGUGGCCGCACUCUCGAGCAUGGAAGGAGGAAACCCGGGUGGGGACGUCGAUGGCCAUGAGGUGCCGGUAGGGGCAUCCGCUAAGGGAAAGCGGGGGCGUCCGCGAAAACCACCUACAGUAACAUGUGAUUGUGACGUACUGGUCCAGAUGGUUCAGAAGCCACGCAAGGUGAGAGAUUACCUGGAGGAGUUCUUGGAUACGGCCAAGAUGUGUCAACCGAAGCCAGCUGAGGAGUGGUGUCAUCUGUUUAGGGCCGGGCUACGUGGGGAUAUUCGUGAAGAACUCGUGGGAGUCCUGGAGCCUCUGGAAUUUGCACUGGUGAGAAGGAUGGCUAACCAAGCACUGCACGCGGAGGAGUGGUUGGCGGAAAAGGAGGUGGAGGCCGAGGAGGACCGCGUCGCAGAGGGCGAUGAAGACCUGGGAUCCGAGUCCCGCUGCCCCUCGCCAUGUCAAUGUGGCUAGACGAGAUCCUAGAGACGAUUCGUAGGAGUAGGACACGUGUUUCGCUAUUGGUUUUAUUUUAUUUAUUGGUUAUUGGAGUUGGUGUUCCUUCCCUUAUUUACGGCAUUCUGUAUUUGUGCAGAUGUGCUGAGUUUCUUUUACAAACUAUUGUAGUCCUACUCCUUUUAUUAUUUAUGACAUUCCUUCGUUGGUUUUAAAGAUUCCAGUAGAGAUAUCGUGUCAUGUAUGCCUCCCUUGAUUGUUGUGUGAAUGUGUGAACCCAUUUUGGUAACGAACGAUUGGUCUGAAAGAUGUGGGCUUUGGAAUUCGGGGACGAAUUCCGAUUAACGGGGGAGGAUUGUAACGGCCCGGUUCCUGGCCCAUAAAAAUUUCCCAAAGAUUAUGGGCUUCUCUACAGCCCAUUUGACAAAACCCUAGGGCUUCCCCUUCCCUUUACUAUAAAAAGAGAUGCAGUCUCCCUUUCUGCCUCAUCACAAAUCUGAAGCGAAGCCCUGCAGAGAAUUCCCGGAGGUCGAAAACCCUAGCCGUCGAGCUCUCUCUCUCUCUCUCCUGCGCCGUCUCUCUCUCUCUCCUCUCUCUCUCCCGCGUGUCGCUCUCUCUCUCUCUCCUCGCCGUCACCCUCUCUCUCUCCUUGCCGUCGCACGCUCUCUCUCUCUCUCUCUCCCUCUCGCCGGCGCCGUGAAGGGGUGGUGCUGACCAGAUCUCAACCUUCUCAAUCCUCGUUUCCAGAUCCAGAUCCAGAUCUAAAACUAAGGUGGAGUGUUUCGAACCCAACCUUCUUUCAUGGUUCUGUAUACUCCUCUAUGUUGGAGUUAGGCUUGAUUAGACCCUGAUUGGGAGUUAGGUUGAUAGGACAUGGUAUUGCUAGGAUGAUAGAUGAAUGAAUCAUGAUGCAUAAGAACCCUCAUACUGAUAAAUGGGACUUGAUGAACUGAAUUGAAUUGUCGUGGUAAUGAUUGAUUGGUAGUUGAUACUUGUAUGUUUGGUUGUGUUGUCCCAUGUGUUGUUGUGAUUGAAGUUAGGAUGCUAGAGAGGAACAAAUGCUAGGAUGAUAGAUGAGCAAUGAUUAUAAACGUUAUUGAAGUAGAACUUGAAUGCGAUGUGUAUUGUGUGUGACACCGAUAACGGGUGGCGUCUAGUGAUUUAGUCCAAGUUCAAGUAUGAAUGAAAAGGGAAAGUAAUUGGGAAUGGGGAGGAUUAAGUGAAAACGAUAAGGAAGUGAAAUGAUAAGUAAAAGUAUGAAAGAAGGAUGUUAAGGUUAAGCAUGGGUGGGAAAGCAUAUAGAGAGUCUAAGGUUUGUAGGUGGGGUAAGUAGUCCACGCUAGGUAUCCAUAGGAGAUGUGGCGAAUCCACAUGAAUAUGGAAGCACCCAUAGGAGAUGUGGCGAAUCCACAUGAAUAUGGGGUAGAAGCCUAGUGGGGGGCUACCCACUGAGGAAAAGAGGAAAAGAGGAAAAGAGGAAAAGAUGAAAAGUUGAAAAGGAUGUGCAUUGUAGGGUUUUAGCUCAUGGUCGGGUAACGGGGAGUUAAAGGUGUCAUAGGGUCGGGUCGGACGGACAAGAGGAGUCGGUUAAGUCUAGGGUUUGACGUGUGUGGCAAUGAGUGAGAUCAUUGUAUUGAUUGAUCGCUAGGUUGUUAGAAAUGAAUGGAAGUGAUUGUGGAAAUUGCAGAUAACAUUAGGAAUGAUGAAAAUGCAUUAACUGAUUGUAGUGGCUAGUCAGUCCUAGUUCCCGCAUGGAGUAGUAUAGAGUGUCAUGCGGGCAGGCUGGUCUAGAACCACUUCACUGAGUAACUUGUUGCUCACCCCUCCAUUUCCAUUUUUCCUGUGCGCAGGACUGUAAGUAGAAGUAUAUGGAUGUGGGUAUGACGGUAUUUCAAAGAAGGUUAUGCGCUCGUCUCUCGGGACCAGUAACGGGACACGUAGGGUUGUCUAGAUGAGUAGACACGUGUCCAUAACGCCCCUUCGAUAACCCCGGUCGGACUCCGGGGGAUCGGGCUGUUACA